rnacentral:snRNA from 2 species
AUACCUUUCUUGAUCUUUUGGCUAAGAUCAAGUGCAGAAUCUGUUUUUAUCAGUUUAAUAUUUGAUAUGUGGUUCAAUGAAUCACACGAUAUUAAAUUAUGUUUUUUGAAGGGAAGAAGCCAUCUCAGUAGCUUGCAAAGGCUUCUCAAGUGUCACCUUUGUGCUGUGCACUGUUGCAUGUCGCUUUUGCAUGGGCUGGUGCACCCCAC